rnacentral:tRNA from 1 species
ACCUGGUUGGCUCAGUCAGUGGAGCAGGAGACUGUUAAUCUUGGAUUAGUGAGUUCAAGACCCAUACUGGGUG